rnacentral:rRNA from 1 species
GAUGAACGCUGGCGGCGUGCCUAACACAUGCAAGUCGAACGGACUUACAUUGAAGCCUAGCGAUAUGUAAGUUAGUGGCGGACGGGUGAGUAACGCGUGGGUAACCUGCCUUGUACUGGGGGACAACAGUUGGAAACGACUGCUAAUACCGCAUAAGCGCACAGUGCCGCAUGGCACGGUGUGAAAAACUCCGGUGGUCUGGGAUGGACCCGCGUCUGAUUAGGUAGUAGGCGGGGUAACGGCCCACCUAGCCAACGAUCAGUAGCCGACCUGAGAGGGUGACCGGCCACAUUGGGACUGAGACACGGCCCAAACUCCUACGGGAGGCAGCAGUGGGGAAUAUUGCACAAUGGGGGAAACCCUGAUGCAGCGACGCCGCGUGGAGGAAGAAGGUCUUCGGAUUGUAAACUCCUGUUGUUGAGGAAGAUAAUGACGGUACUCAACAAGGAAGUGACGGCUAACUACGUGCCAGCAGCCGCGGU